rnacentral:rRNA from 1 species
CACGUAGGCACCAAGCGUUGUCCGGAUUUAUUGGGCGUAAAGAGCUCGUAGGCGGUUCGGUAAGUCGGAUGUGAAAACUUUGGGCUCAACCCAAAGCGUGCACUCGAUACUGCCGUGACUGGAGUUCGGUAGGGGAGCGGGGAAUUCCUAGUGUAGCGGUGAAAUGCGCAGAUAUUAGGAGGAACACCGGUGGCGAAGGCGCCGCUCUGGGC